AAUAAUAAGGACAAACAAAAAGAAAGCUAUCAUCUUUCUCACUUUCUCCUUCCCCGAACGUUUCUAGUAGAAGAAAAUAGCCAUGGAAGCUUGAAAAUUUCAGCAACAUAAAACCCUUGCAUAUCAAGAAAAGCAACUUUCGGAACAAAAUCGGAGAAAAGAUAAAGUUAUGGAUUAAAUAACCGUUAUCUCCAUGCAAAUUUGAGAAAUCGGAAGCUCGUUCGGGUUGGAAGUUGGCAGAGAUUUCAUCACAUUAUUUAUCAGUUAUUUUGGUAUUGUGGUUUUAUAAUCUUGGUUAUAAUGGCAUGUAUAGGUCAUUUUGGCCAAUGGUAGUCUAUAUGUUUUUUGUGUUUUUAGCCAUUCAAUUUGGCUUGAAAAUGUUAUAUGUUUUGUUAUGUAAAUAUGUGUAAAUGACUUUAUGAUAUGUGGUGUAUGGUUGCCAAGUGAAUGUCUUGUUUGUGAAUUGGCAUUUUGUGUACUAAA